rnacentral:tRNA from 1 species
GGGAAAGUAGCUCAGCUGGUAGAGCAAGUAACUAUUUAGUUGCUGAAGGUCGGUGGUUCAAGUCCAUCCUUUUCCAC